UUUUGCGUCGACUGUCUUCUAACAAGCCUCAUUGUUGACUAAAUAAAUUUAUAUGACAAGAUGUUCAAGUUCACAUUUCUGAUGACAGCUAUUGCAGUCAUUAUGGUGACUGAUGUUUCUGCCCGUUGUAAAAGAGCCAUGAAAAGAUGUGAAAAUGGAGAUGAAUGCUGCAACGAACGUUGCGAAAAAUUAGGUGACGAACAGGUUUGUUACCCAACAGAGGAAGAAAUCGAUAGAUUAGGACUAGUAGAGCUCAGGGGUAGAACCAAAAAAUGAACUGCAGUAUCAACUCUAAAAAAGA